CCUACGGGGGACAGCAGUAGGGAAUUUUCGUAAAUGGGCGCAAGCCUGAACGAGCAAUGCCGCGUGAACGAGGAAGGUCUUCGGAUCGUAAAGUUCUGUUGAAGGGGAAAAAGAGCGGAGAGAGGAAAUGGUCUCCGAUUGAUAUUACCCUUCGAGGAAGUCACGGCUAACUACGUGCCAGCAGCCGCGGUAAUACGUAGGUGGCGAGCGUUAUCCGGAAUGAGUGGGCGUAAAGGGUGCGUAGGCGGCCUGCUAAGUCUGGAGUGAAAGGUACCGGCUCAACCGGUAUAGGCUCUGGAAACUGGCGGGCUAGAGAGCAGGAGAGGGCGGUGGAACUCCAUGUGUAGCGGUAAAAUGCUUAGAUAUCACGAAGAACUCCGAUUGCGAAGGCAGCUUACUAAACUGCCACUGACAUUGAUGCACGAAAGCGUGGGUAUCGAACAGGAUUAGAUACCCCAGUAGUC
rnacentral:rRNA from 1 species